UCCCUGGUGGUCCAGUGGCUAGGACUUGACGCUUUCACUGCCAGUGGCCCAGGUUUGAUCCCUGGUCGAUGAA
rnacentral:tRNA from 1 species